AGUCGGCAACAUGAUAAAGUAACAAGAAGCAAACGUUGAAGCUCUCGGUUUUUAACAGUUCUUCGGCUAGAACUUUGCUAUGGGUUGAAUGUGCGCAUAUACUGGAUGCUGAAACUAAACGACAAGCUUUAUGAAACCGUGGCAUUUUGCGUUGAGAUGGAAAAGGAACGCGCCACACUCUCCUGGAUACGAGGCUACGUGUGUGCGGCUUUUGCGCCAAAGGUCUUUCUACCAGCAAAACAAAAUAGCAGGACAGAAGUGACAGCGUCAGAAACAAAACAUUGCUGUUCCGAUUGCUGAUGGAGACAACAGAGAAAGACAGGAGAAGGUCAAGACUCAAGAGCUGGACUUUCCAUGACGUCCUCACUCGACCCCUGUGAAUAGCAGCCCACCGUUGACCAGCCAUCAGUAUCUACUGUGCAGUCAUUUCCUGACCCGGUUUCUCACUAGCCCUUCGCAGACGAACACUACCACCUGAAGACGGUCGUCUGGAUAAUACUUCGGUUUGGCACCGGCAUGGUCUACCACAAAGAUAGACGCCAGACCUUCUGAAAGGACCUAAUGGACUGAGUGCUGGAAAGGAGACAACCCCUCUAUAGAAUAAACUGAGUGUAACAAACACUCCACCACGAAAACUCUCCA